rnacentral:rRNA from 1 species
UACGUAGGUGGCUAGCGUUGUCCGGAUUUACUGGGCGUAAAGAGCUCGUAGGUGGUUCGGUAAGUCGGAUGUGAAAUCUCCAGGCUCAACCUGGAGGGGUCAUUCGAUACUGCCGUGACUAGAGGUCGGUAGGGGAGUGUGGAAUUCCUGGUGGAGCGGUGAAAUGCGCAGAUAUCAGGAGGAACACCCGUAGCGAAGGCGGCACUCUGGGCCGAUACUGACACUGAGGAGCGAAAGCGUGGGGAGCGAACAGG